AGAGUUUGAUCAUGGCUCAGAUUGAACGCUGGCGGAAUGCUUUACACAUGCAAGUCGAACGGCAGCACGGGGCAACCUGGUGGCGAGUGGCGAACGGGUGAGUAAUAUAUCGGAACGUGCCCAAUCGUGGGGGAUAACGUAGCGAAAGUUACGCUAAUACCGCAUACGAUCUACGGAUGAAAGCGGGGGAUCGCAAGACCUCGCGCGAAUGGAGCGGCCGAUAUCAGAUUAGGUAGUUGGUGGGGUAAAGGCUCACCAAGCCAACGAUCUGUAGCUGGUCUGAGAGGACGACCAGCCACACUGGAACUGAGACACGGUCCAGACUCCUACGGGAGGCAGCAGUGGGGAAUUUUGGACAAUGGGCGCAAGCCUGAUCCAGCCAUUCCGCGUGCAGGAUGAAGGCCUUCGGGUUGUAAACUGCUUUUGUACGGAACGAAACGGUCUGCCCUAAUACGGUGGGCUAAUGACGGUACCGUAAGAAUAAGCACCGGCUAACUACGUG
rnacentral:rRNA from 1 species